rnacentral:rRNA from 1 species
GAAUAUUGGACAAUGGGCGAAAGCCUGAUCCAGCCAUGCCGCGUGUGUGAAGAAGGUCUUCGGAUUGUAAAGCACUUUAAGUUGGGAGGAAGGGCAGUAAGCGAAUACCUUGCUGUUUUGACGUUAACGGAAGAAUAAGCACCGGCUAACUCUGUGGAGGCAGCGGCGGUAAUGCAGAGGGUGCAAGCGUUAAUCGGAAUUACUGGGCGUAUAGCGCGCGUAGGUGGUUCGUAAAGUGGGAUGUGAAAUCCCCGGGCUCAACCUGGGAACUGCAUCCAAAACUGGCGAGCUAGAGUAGGGCAGAGGGUGGUGGAAUUUCCUGUGUAGCGGUGAAAUGCGUAGAUAUAGGAAGGAACACCAGUGGCGAAGGCGACCACCUGGGCUCAUACUGACACUGAGGUGCGAAAGCGUGGGGAGCAAACAG